rnacentral:rRNA from 1 species
GACGAACGCUGGCGGCGUGCUUAACACAUGCAAGUCGAGCGGUAAGGCCCUCGGGUACACGAGCGGCGAACGGGUGAGUAACACGUGGGUGACCUGCCUUUAGCUCUGGGAUAAGCCUGGGAAACUGGGUCUAAUACCGGAUAUGACCUCAUGACGCAUGUUGUGGGGUGGAAAGCCUUGUGCGGCUAGAGAUGGGCCCG